UGGCUCAGAUUGAACGCUGGCGGCAGGCCUAACACAUGCAAGUCGAGCGGUAGAGAGAAGCUUGCUUCUCUUGAGAGCGGCGGAUGGGUGAGUAAUGCCUAGGAAUCUGCCUGGUAGUGGGGGAUAACGUUCGGAAACGGACGCUAAUACCGCAUACGUCCUACGGGAGAAAGCAGGGGACCUUCGGGCCUUGCGCUAUCAGAUGAGCCUAGGUCGGAUUAGCUAGUUGGUGAGGUAAUGGCUCACCAAGGCGACGAUCCGUAACUGGUCUGAGAGGAUGAUCAGUCACACUGGAACUGAGACACGGUCCAGACUCCUACGGGAGGCAGCAGUGGGGAAUAUUGGACAAUGGGCGAAAGCCUGAUCCAGCCAUGCCGCGUGUGUGAAGAAGGUCUUCGGAUUGUAAAGCACUUUAAGUUGGGGGGAAGGGUUGUAGAUUAAUACUCUGCAAUUUUGACGUUACCGACAGAAUAAGCACCGGCUAACUCUGUGCCAGCAGCCGCGGUAAUACAGAGGGUGCAAGCGUUAAUCGGAAUUACUGGGCGUAAAGCGCGCGUAGGUGGUUUGUUAAGUUGGAUGUGAAAUCCCCGGGCUCAACCUGGGAACUGCAUUCAAAACUGACUGACUAGAGUAUGGUAGAGGGUGGUGGAAUUUCCUGUGUAGCGGUGAAAUGCGUAGAUAUAGGAAGGAACACCAGUGGCGAAGGCGACCACCUGGACUAAUACUGACACUGAGGUGCGAAAGCGUGGGGA
rnacentral:rRNA from 1 species